AACAGAGUGCAAGGGCAUUACGCAUAUCAGUGAGGAUUCGUCCGAGAUUGCGUUUUUGCUAGUUGAAAACUAUCAACUGACUGCUCGUAUUGGUCUUCGGAUCGGUACGGAAUUUUUGGCCAACCCAAGCACAAGCUGCUGUCUUUUCAUCAUGUUUUGCGCACAAGAGCGUGGGC
rnacentral:snRNA from 1 species